GAAACUGGGCAGAAGAGAAGAGA
rnacentral:piRNA from 1 species